UUGUGGGUACAAUUGUAGGGGUACGAGGUAAAGUUUUCGAAAACCCGAUCCAAGCAUCCAAGACUGAUCUAUGUUGAUCCUACAACACACGUAUGAAUAUUGGAUGCUUCUCCUUGUCGUUCUCAAAUUCUCCAGUUCUCGCACUUCUCAUUACGAAUGUCCAUUGAAAAAAACAAAUCAAAGAAGAGCCUAAUCAUCACUAAUGAGCUUCCCGUUUUGAUUCUGGAUCAUCAUCCUUUUUACCGUAUCGAAUUUACAAGAUCCAAUAUCGAAAUGAAAAUUUCCAAAUCGAAUCAUAUCUUGCACGUGGAGUCGAAGAUAAUUGGGGAUGAAUCAUGAUGUGUUCAACAGCUUGCGCGUUCAUCACCUUCAAGGAAACUUCAGGGUUCAGUCGUGAUUCACGUCUUUCCAUCGUAAAGCUCCGUAGCUCCGAAAAUUCGGCUUGUUCUGUUAUCAAAUGCAUAAACUGAAGAAAAGCGGUGUCGAUACAAAAUGGAAGACUUACCGGAUUUGAAGUUUGAUUAUGAACAGUUGUUGUGCAGAGCAAAUCAAAAGUGAAGAGGAAUCACAUUUGGUUAUCUGACUGCAGGAGAGUUCGAAGGUUGAAGAAUGAAUAUUGAAGUUUGGAAGAAGUGAAGAUUGAAGCUUGGAAGAAUGAAGAUUGAGGCUUGGAAGCAAUGAAGAUUGAGGCUUGGAAGCAAUGAAGAUUGGCGCUUGGAAGAAAUGGAGCUUUUCAAAGAAGAAAAAACUGUGAGUGCCGAGUUAUUUUUAUAGAGUUUUGAAUUGAAUUCAGUUAUGAAAUUCACCUUCAAAAUCACAUGAAAUUCAAAGUUAGUUGUAAAUGAAAUUAGUUAGUUAUUUGUUAGGGAAAUCAAAUGAGUGAAUGAAUUUGGCUUGAAUUUGGUUUUAA